rnacentral:tRNA from 1 species
CCUGAUAGCUCAGUUGGUAAAGUAUCUGCCUGUGAUGCAGGAGACCCUGGUUCAAUUCCUGGAUCAGGA